GGUGGGCCUCUCUCCCUCCUCGAUAUUUCAACCCAGACCGGCUCCUCUUUUCUAUCUCUACCCUCUCAUCUCUCUCUAUCUUAUCCUCUCCUUCUCAAGAAACCAGUCGUGGAGAUCCCGGGCAGCCGGCCGCCACCGCUGUGGUGCGUGUGGGCUGUUAGGCUCGCGGGCAGCUGGCCGCUGCCGGGAGGCCGCGCGGAGCGCUGACCACAGCCAUGGGCCCCGGCCGCCACCGCCACCGCGAAGCGCGUGGGCAGCUGGCCGCCGGCUGAUGGCCGCCGCCACGAGGACACGCGGGGUGCCGACCGCACCGUGGGGCCCCGGCCGCCACCGACGCUGCGGAACGCACUGGCAGCGGGCCGUCGCAGGGGAGCGCAUUGGGCGACAUGCAGGAGGUCAUCCCAGGUCGCCGACUUCAUAUCCAAAUCAAUCCAGCCGUGGAGCGCCGGCCGCCGCCGCUGUCAUGGAGCGCCUGGACUGCCGACAGCCGCCGCGGGUGCCAUGAGCACGUGGGGAACCAGAUGUGGGAGCCGGCCUUGGGUGAUUUUUUUUCUUACAUUUCUAAAAUAGAUAUGGAUGUGGGAUUGUAUGGACUGAAUUUAUUAAGAUUGUAUGGAUUGUAUUUAUCUUGUGAUUGAUUCUUUGAAUGAUUUGCGGGAUCGAUCUAUGAAUUUUGCAUCGGUCGAUUUAAUAUU